rnacentral:rRNA from 1 species
AACGAACGCUGGCGGCGCGUCUUAAGCAUGCAAGUCGAACGGCAAGAUUUUGUAGCUUGCUACAAAAUCCUAGAGUGGCGGACUGGUGAGUAACACGUGGGUGACGUACCUUUCAGAUGGGGAUAGCUACUAGAAAUAGUAGAUAAUACCCGAAUACGACCGUAGUUGUUAGAGGACUACGAGGAAAGGAGCUAAAGGCUCCGCUGAAAGAUUGGCCCGCGGCCCAUUAGCUAGUUGGUAGGGUAAAGGCCUACCAAGGCAAUGAUGGUAUCCGGCCUGAGAGGUGAUCGGGACACAUUGGGACUGAGAUACGGCCCAGACU